AUUGAACGCUGGCGGCAUGCCUAACACAUGCAAGUCGAACGGCAGCACAGCAGUAGCAAUACUGUGGGUGGCGAGUGGCGGACGGGUGAGGAAUACGUCGGAAUCUGCCCAGUCGUGGGGAUAACUAGCCGAAAGGUUAGCUAAUACCGCAUACGACCGAGAGGUGAAAGCGGGGACCGCAAGGCCUCGCGCGAUUGGAUGAGCCGACGUCGGAUUAGCUAGUUGGCGGGGUAAAGGCCCACCAAGGCGACGAUCCGUAGCUGGUCUGAGAGGAUGAUCAGCCACACUGGAACUGAGACACGGUCCAGACUCCUACGGGAGGCAGCAGUGGGGAAUAUUGGACAAUGGGCGCAAGCCUGAUCCAGCAAUGCCGCGUGUGUGAAGAAGGCCUUC
rnacentral:rRNA from 1 species